rnacentral:rRNA from 1 species
GUGGGGAAUAUUGGACAAUGGGCGAAAGCCUGAUCCAGCAAUGCCGCGUGGAUGAAGAAGGUUUUCGGAUUGUAAAGUCCUUUCGGCGGGGACGAUGAUGACGGUACCCGCAGAAGAAGCCCCGGCUAACUUCGUGCCAGCAGCCGCGGUAAUACGAAGGGGGCUAGCGUUGCUCGGAAUGACUGGGCGUAAAGGGCGCGUAGGCGGUUUGGACAGUUAGGCGUGAAAUUCCUGGGCUCAACCUGGGGACUGCGCUUAAUACAUCCAGACUUGAGUGUGGAAGAGGGUUGUGGAAUUCCCAGUGUAGAGGUGAAAUUCGUAGAUAUUGGGAAGAACACCGGUGGCGAAGGCGGCAACCUGGUCCAUUACUGACGCUGAGGCGCGAAAGCGUGGGGAGCAAACAGGAUUAGAUACCCCUGUAGUCC